GAAAAAGAGAGGAGAGGCAAAAAAAAAUGGGAGAAAAUUGAAACUAAACGCCGCAUUUAGACAACCAUUUUUGAUAAGAGGAUAAUUGAGGAGACACUGGCGUAUAAUUAAGGGAUAAUUUAUGCUAUAUCCACUAUUCCUCCCUCCCCAAAA